UUCCUAUUUUCUUCCAAAUCCUCUUAAAGUUUUUACCUUUAUGCUGCUUCUAACAUCUCCUAUCUUCUCUACCUGUUUUCAAUUUCUAUCGCUGCAUGAGGAUCCACCCCAAAACCCAGUGCUUUAAAAUAACAGCCACACACUUUCUCGUAACACUGGGUCUCCCGGUGGCAUCUGCAAGGCUCACUCACGUGUUCUGUGUUUGUCGGGUGGCAGAUCAGCUAAGAAUUGGCAGGCCCCAGACGACGGUUGCCUGGGGAUGCCAGCCAGCGUGCCUCCCUUCUCCUCUUCACAGGCUCUACAGUGCGACGAGGUUGGCUGGGAAAUGCUCUAGAGGCAGCUGGAUUCCAAGAGAGUCAAAGUCAAAGAUGGAAAUGCUUCCUGGGGCCUCAGUUCAUCACACAGUCAGCCAUUCUACACCCGAUGGAUCAACAUAAGUCACUAGAGCAGCCCAGAUUUGAGAGGUUGGAGAAAGAGUUUUCUCCUCCUGGUAAAACAGCAGCAGCAGCAGCCUAGAGGGGUAUGAGGAAUUUGUGGGCAGACAGUAAACCCCCUACACACGAAACUUGAGUUGUGAACUUUCAAAGAUGCAAAUGUGACCCUGGAUGCCAACUAUUGUAUUGUACGACUGUGCCUUUCCAGGCACGGUACUAUAAGAUUAAGAAUGCUGUCUUUGUUUUUAAUGUGCACAUUACUUGUGUGAAACCUAUUAUAUUAUAAAGUCUUUGUAGUACAGUACUGUAUAGCCGAUCGUGUAACUUGGGUACCCAGGCUAACUUUGUUGGCAUUAUGAAUAAAUUGGACUUAAAAAUGUGCCCUCCGACUUGCUCAUAUGUAGAAGACUUGCUGUAUUUUGCAACUGACCAUACCUUGCCAUGUGUCCUCCCUGACCUACACCUGCUGACCUCUCCUUCCUUGUCUCCAUUACUCUCCCGAAACGAUGCUCUAGACUUGGUCACAUAAUAGUGAUGAUAACCAGUACGCAGAUACAGUCUUUGAGUACUCUGUCUCAAGCACCGUAGCCAAAGUUCUGCAUAUGUCAUUGUGUAUUUCAUCCUCCAGAUUCCCUAUCAUGGAGGUAUUUUUAUUCCCAUUUUAGGGUCAAUGAAAUUGAGACACUCAGGAGCUUAACAGGUCUCACAAGGAAGAACCUGAAUUGGGAUUCAAACUUAGAUAUACUUGAUUCCAACAUCCAUCAAGUUUUUACUC
ensembl:lncRNA